rnacentral:lncRNA from 1 species
CCCCCCGCUGUCCCAACCCCGCUCCGUGCUACGACUUCUUCGAGUUCAUCUACUGCUACCACGAUGACCAGUGUCCACCGGGCAAGAAAUGCUGCACAGACGGCUGUUCCCAAAGGAAAAUAUGUGUGCCCGUCUGAGUCAUGCCCCAGCGUGUGCAUGGCGCAUGACACGAACUCUGAACCGACUGUUGAAGAACUACGUGCAUGACCGUUUACUCUUUCUUGCUUUUGUUUUUUAAUUCUUUUCUUUGUCAUUUCCUCCUGUGGAUGUCACGAAGAACUGUCCUCUGUUGGUUUAACAUCUCAUCUCUGAAAUGCACAAGUGGCAUUUGAGCAAUAAACUUUGAUUGGAAUUUCG